GAUGAACGCUGGCGGCGUGCCUAAUACAUGCAAGUCGAGCGAACGGACGAGAAGCUUGCCUCUCUGAUGUUAGCGGCGGACGGGUGAGUAACACGUGGAUAACCUACCUAUAAGACUGGGAUAACUUCGGGAAACCGUAGCUAAUACCGGAUAAUAUUUUGAACCGCAUGGUUCAAAAGUGAAAGACGGUCUUGCUGUCACUUAUAGAUGGAUCCGCGCUGCAUUAGCUAGUUGGUAAGGUAACGGCUUACCAAGGCAACGAUGCAUAGCCGACCUGAGAGGGUGAUCGGCCACACAGGAACUGAGACACGGUCCAGACUCCUACGGGAGGCAGCAGUAGGGAAUCUUCCGCAAUGGGCGAAAGCCUGACGGAGCAACGCCGCGUGAGUGAUGAAGGUCUUCGGAUCGUAAAACUCUGUUAUUAGGGAAGAACAUAUGUGUAAGUAACUGUGCACAUCUUGACGGUACCUAAUCAGAAAGCCACGGCUAACUACGUG
rnacentral:rRNA from 1 species